GCUAAGACCACAAAAUGAGAUGUGGGGUUUCAGUCUGAAGAUUAAGAAAAGAUUUUAGCAGGAGGCACAGCAGUGGAAGAGCUCACCAGAAAAGUUUGACCUCCAAGAAGUUUGAACAUCUCAGCUACAAAAAGCCACAGGCCUGGUCCCUGAAAGCAGAUGAAUUGACUGGCAUGAGAGACCAUCCAGCCCAAGGAGCCAGAAGCAGCAAGGAAUCUCAGUGGGACGGAGCAGCUUAAUCGAUCAGCAAUCCUGGUCACCCAGAAAGAGUGUUAAUUGGCCUCGGUACUUGAAGCAUGUGACACUGCCUGACCUAAUCAUCAGAGCUGGAGAAGUCAAUAAAUUAGAGGAGAAAUGCAGAUGGAUAAAAUAAAGACCCAGCUCUAUACAACACGCUGUGAACAUCGUUCCUGAAUAGUGCUGUAUGGAAAAGCCAAGUCAAGCAUUUUCUGGAUAAGGCCCAGGGGAGCUAAGAGCAAGAACAAUUUCAAGUUUUCAGAGUUUCACCUUUUAGUCUUCCAUCACGUACACUUGCUAUGUCUCAGCAAUUUGUCUGAAAGCUCCUAACUGAACCUGUGAAAAUUAUUCAUUCUCCCUCUCUAAUAACCAGCAGUGUAGCUUGCCUCACUCCUGCACUCCCUGGGGAUGGGCUGAGCCAAGCCAACAUGAUCUGGUCAGGGGUUUGGCAGGGACAUGCCCAGGCUCACCUCCCUCUGAGAGAGGAGCAGUGCUCCCACAAAACUUGAUGUCUAUUUGGGUUAAAUACUGCAGGUGAGAUCUCAGCUCUCUCUGCUGCCAUUGGAGCAGUUUGCUUUGUCUCAGGGUCCAGCAUUUAACUGCUGAUGAGCAAAUAACUUCAGGCUGCUAAUUUAGACCCAUGAAGAAGCUGGUGUGAGCACCUCCCACAGUGAAGGAGAGUGCCAGGGCAGUGUCCUGUCAGCCUCAUUAAAAGGGCUCCCUUCCCUGUGCUGCAGAUGCAGGACUUUGCUCCCUGGAGCCAGCAGGGGUGAUUUUCCAGGUGCUGGCUGCGAAGGAAGUAGCAUGUGCAAGCCCAGGCUGUCCCAGUAAAAUGGAAAGGACUGCCCUAGUGGCUGAAGCAUGUGAGAUGUAGGUCCAGGCAGAAGCUGGUGGGAUGGAAGAGUCCAG
rnacentral:lncRNA from 1 species